rnacentral:rRNA from 1 species
ACGGAAGGCAGCAGUGGGGGAUAUUGCACAAUGGGGGAAACCCUGAUGCAGCGACGCCGCGUGAGCGAAGAAGUAUUUCGGUAUGUAAAGCUCUAUCAGCAGGGAAGAAAAUGACGGUACCUGACUAAGAAGCCCCGGCUAACUACGUGCCAGCAGCCGCGGUACUACGUAGGGGGCAAGCGUUAUCCGGAUUUACUGGGUGUAAAGGGAGCGUAGACGGCGAGGCAAGUCUGAUGUGAAAGCUCGGGGCUCAACCCCGGAACUGCAUUGGAAACUGUUUUGCUAGAGUGUCGGAGAGGUAAGCGGAAUUCCUAGUGUAGCGGUGAAAUGCGUAGAUAUUAGGAGGAACACCAGUGGCGAAGGCGGCUUACUGGACGAUAACUGACGUUGAGGCUCGAAAGCGUGGGGAGCAAACAGGAUUAGAUACCCUGGUA